CAACUAACCUUACUAAAUUUACACCUUAAACUAGCCCAAAUGUUUAACCAUUCACCCAUGACAUAAAUAUAUUUUAUCUAUUACUGCAGAAUAUAGAUGUGCUACCCAAAUCAUAAUUCGCCUCAUAUAGUAACCGAGUUAAUUUUUAUCAUUUGUCAAAUAAAUUACAAAACAAAUUAUAUAACAAAAUAUAUAUACAUUUUAAACCUCACCAAUAAACAAAUUCUCGUGGCAUUAAAUAAUCAUCACGCACCAAAGACAAACGUACUUGACAUUUCCAUCACAUAAACUGGAUUAAUCAGUGCCACCUCAAUGAUGUAAUCAUCCUUUUAACUUCCUUAACCAAGCCAAAUUACACCAUCAUCUCACACAUAGAAUGAUCCACCUAUCAUACUUCUCAAUUAUGUCACUUAAUAGACCAAAUAUACCUAACAUUUAUCAUCAUGAUCAAUCCACAACCAAAAUACUUUCAUAUAUCAAAAUUACCACACACACACACACACACACACGCACACACACACACACACACACACAUAUAUAUAUCAUGACUAAAUUUCUUAAACAUUUGAUCAAAUGCUUUUCAAUACUGCAAUAAUUCUUUCAAUACCAACACGUAUUUACCAUUCAAUUUACCAUUGGCCGAUUAUAAUCGGGCAUAUAACCAUUUAUACACAAUGCAUUCAUAUAUUUUAUUGUCCUCCUCCUCCUCUCCAUUCCACAUCAUUGAUGCAUGUAACACACUUAAAUAGCAUUAUACAUAAUUUCACUAUUCACUUAUAUUUAAAUUCAAAGCUGUCUAGUCGAGUUACAGUCACUAAAUUAUUUUUAUCUGGAGCUACAAAGCUCCAAAUUAAGAUCCGUUAAUUUUUCCUGAAACUAGACUCACAUAUCUUCUUACCAUAAAAUUUUUAGAAUUUUUAGUUUAGCAAAAUAGUACAGUUUAUUCUUUAAAGUUUCCUCUGUUUUGCUGUCUGACAGUUCCGACCACUCUUCACUAAAAAUGAAUUAUCUAAUUGUACAGAAUUCUAAGCAUAUGAAUUGUAACUCAUAAUUAUUUUUAUUCAAUUUUUGAUGAUUUUCCAAAGUCAGAACAGGGGAACCCGAAAUCAUUCUGACAUUUUCUCACAAAUUUUAUUAUAACUCAUAAUUUACAAUUCUAUUGCUUACACCGUUUCUUCUAUAAGAAACUAGACUCAAUAACCUUUAAUUUCAUAUUUUACUCAUCUUCUAAUUCGAUUCCCACGAUUUUUGGUGAUUUUUCAAAGUUGGCACACUGCUGCUGCCCAAAACUGUUUUAGUGCAACAUAUUGAUUACCAUUUUGACCCUAAACUUUUAACACAUGACAAUUUCAUCCCUAGGCUCUGAAAAUGAAAUUCUUGCAAUUUAAUCCUUGAUCCAAGCCUAAUAAUUCUCAUACAUAUCAAUAACAGCCCAUGGAUUCCAUGAAAUUUUAGAAUUUUUCCACAACUUCAAUACUUUAAAACUUAAUCCCUAAAACAUGUUUUCAUCCAAAAUUCUUUAAUAAAACACCUUUAAACAUCCAUUAACAUAUCAAUUUCAUCAUCAAAUAACAAAAAUCAUAUGAACUUAUCAAUGGUAUCUUUCUAAACUUUCAACAAAAUGAGAAACUAGUAGAAUACUAGGUUGGACCUAAUUGCAAAAGUCUAAAAAUAUAAAAAUUUCAAGGAAAAAGUAAGAAUUACACUUACUUGAAGCUAAAUUAUGGAAUACCAGCUCUAAACCCUCCUCCAUGGCUG
rnacentral:lncRNA from 1 species